rnacentral:misc_RNA from 1 species
AAAAUCCUAAAUAGAAUAGGAAACAAAAAUGGAAGAGGAAAACACAAAAAUAAAAUCCUAAUUGGAAUAGGAAACAUUAAAAUUGAAAAUCCAGGGCCUCAUCUCUUCUAUAGUACUUGUUGAUUUGUUGAUGCUGUUGCAAUUUUAGAUCAUAAUGAUGACAAUGUAAUAUCCCUCUUUAAAUCACAUAUAAGCCUCUGUACAUAUUUAUUAUAAUUUCCUAUGACUCCUACGUGAUGUACCUAUUGCUUUAUCUAUCUAAUGAAUUUUGGUCCAGCACACUAUAUUUGAUUACAAAUAUAUAGCCAGCCACCAGCCAGGCAGCCACUAACUUUUAACUACUUUUUUCUCAACUGUUUUUUAGUCUGUG